rnacentral:rRNA from 1 species
UUCCUACGGGUGGCUGCAGUAGGGAAUUUUCGGCAAUGGGGGGAACCCUGACCGAGCAAUGCCGCGUGAAUGAAGAAGGUCUUCGGAUUGUAAAGUUCUGUUAUUGGGAAAGAACAUCAUAUUCAGGAAAUGGGAUAUGACUGACGGUACCCAAUUAGAAAGCCCCGGCCAACUACGUGCCAGCAGCCGCGGUAAUACGUAGGGGGCGAGCGUUAUCCGGAUUUAUUGGGCGUAAAGCGUGUGUAGGCGGUUUAUUAAGUCAGGCGUAAAAGAUCACAGCUCAACUGUGUAGGGCGUUUGAAACUGGUAGACUUGAAUACGGUAGAGGUAGGGGGAAUUCCAUGUGUAGCGGUGGAAUGCGUAGAUAUAUGGAGGAACACCAAUGGCGAAGGCAACCUACUGGGCCGGAAUUGACGCUGAGACACGAAAGCGUGGGGAGCAAACAGGAUUAGAUACCCCAGUAGUCC